rnacentral:rRNA from 1 species
CCCUUAGAUGUCCUGGGCUGCACGCGCGCUACACUGAUGCAUCCAACAAGUAUUCCUGUCCUGAAAAGGUUGGGUAAUCUCUAAAAAUGCAUCGUGAUGGGGAUAGAUUAUUGCAAUUAUUAAUCUUCAACGAGGAAUGCCUAGUAAGCGCAAGUCAUCAGCUUGCGUUGAUUACGUCCCUGCCCUUUGUACACACCGCCCGUCGCUCCUACCGAUUGAAUGGUCCGGUGAAGCGUUCGGACCGUGGCCUUUGGACGGUUCGCCGUCUGUUGGCUGCGGGAAGUUCGUUAAACCUUAUCAUUUAGAGGAAGGAGAAGUCGUAACA